rnacentral:rRNA from 1 species
CGAAAGCCUGACGGAGCAACGCCGCGUGAGGGAUGAAGGCCUUUGGGCUGUAAACCUCUUUUCUCAAGGAAGAAGAUCUGACGGUACUUGAGGAAUAAGCCACGGCUAAUUCCGUGCCAGCAGCCGCGGUAAUACGGGAGUGGCAAGCGUUAUCCGGAAUUAUUGGGCGUAAAGCGUCCGCAGGCGGCCGUUUAAGUCUGUUGUUAAAUCGUGGAGCUCAACUCCAUCACGGCAAUGGAAACUGUUCGGCUUGAGUGUGGUAGGGGCAGAGGGAAUUUCCGGUGUAGCGGUGAAAUGCGUAGAUAUCGGGAAGAACACCAGUGGCGAAAGCGCUCUGCUAGGCCAUUACUGACGCUCAUGGACGAAAGCCAGGGGAGCGAAAGGGAUUAGAUACCCCUGUAGUCCUGGCCGUAAACGAUGAACACUAGAUGUUGGGGGAAUCGACCCCCUCGGUGUCGUAGCUAACGCGUUAAGUGUUCCGCCUGGGGAGUACGCACGCAAGUGUGAAACUCAAAGGAAUUGACGGGGGCCCGCACAAGCGGUGGAGUAUGUGGUUUAAUUCGAUGCAACGCGAAGAACCUUACCAAGGCUUGACAUCCUGCGAAUCUCUAAGAAAUUAGAGAGUGCCUUCGGGAACGCAGUGACAGGUGGUGCAUGGCUGUCGUCAGCUCGUGUCGUGAGAUGUUGGGUUAAGUCCCGCAACGAGCGCAACCCACGUUUUUAGUUGCCAGCAUUCAGUUGGGCACUCUAGAAAGACUGCCGGUGACAACCGGAGGAAGGUGUGGACGACGUCAAGUCAUCAUGCCCCUUACGCCUUGGGCUACACACGUACUACAAUGCUGCGGACAAAGAGUAGCGAUCUUGAAAAGUUAGCUAAUCUCAUAAACCGUGGCUCAGUUCAGAUCGUAGGCUGCAACUCGCCUACGUGAAGUAGGAAUCGCUAGUAAUCGCAGGUCAGCAUACUGCGGUGAAUACGUUCCCGGGCCUUGUACACACCGCCCGUCACACCAUGGAAGUUGGCCAUGCCCGAAGUCGUUACUCUAACCUUUUGGAAGAGGGCGCCGAAGGCAGGGCUAAUGACUGGGGUGAAGUCGUAACAAGGUAGCCGUAGCGGAAGCUGCGGCUGGAUCACCUCCUAA